rnacentral:rRNA from 1 species
CAAGGUAUCUGUAGGUGAACCUGCAGAUGGAUCA